UCUCUCUCUCGAAAUUCUUCUUCUAUGCAACAUCAAACGAACUGAAACCUAGGGUUCGAUUUGGGAAUUUAGUCGACUGAAAAUCCAAACUCAGAAUUCUUCUUUCUUCUCUCCAAGAUCGAAUGAACUGAAAUCUAGGGUUGGGUUUGGGAAUUUAUUCGACCAAAAAUCCAACAAUUGAAGAUUACAGUAAAGUAGAAACAAGAAGGAAUUGAAAUGGAGAGAAAGAGGUGAGGAGUUGCGAACCCCAAAUCCCCAAUUUCUACUUACAGAUAGAAGACAUCCUGAUGAUGCUGCAGUUUCAGAUUUCAUUACUUCUCUUAUGGAUGGCAUGCCUACUAAGUGUAACCCUUUCUUUUUCGAAUUUCAAUAAUUCAACACAACUGGAGAACUGUUAAUCCUAAACCAAAUCUAGGUUUUUGGGUCAUUUGUUGCCAAUAUUUAGCAUACUCCAAAGGGUGAAUUCAAACCAAUAGAGGUGGAUAUAUACAUAUUAAUUACCAAAGUCGUUUGUGUAAAUUUUGCUACGGAAAUUGUGGAAUUCGGUUUAGGGAUGAAAGAUUGCGAGCAUAUCAUGGAAGUGCAACGCUGUAUAAGCCAUUUGAACUCUUUGCAUGUUUGUUACCUGGCUAUGCAGUUCCGCCAUGUUUGUGGCGCUUGGAAAGGUGACCAGGUUUUAUAGUAGCGGCAACAACAACAAGAAGAAGAAGCUCUUAGUUGCAGACCUUAUGAAUGAUCUUGGUGGUGUUACUGAUUACCAUCCAUCUGGUAAUACUUCUAUUGCAGGCAUGUGCCUCCGUACUUUCCAGACCAAAGAGCACCAUUUUGUGCAGGUAGUAGAUCUUCAGUAAGUGUUUCCUUAUUGCUUUUUCGGUGCCAGAUUGUUUAUAAGAGAAAAAUAUUUCUAGAAAACAACCAAAAAGUUUUAGCCUUUUUUUUUUCGAACCUUAGCAAAUCAUGUCCUGUUUCUUAUUUGUUUAGUACCCAAGUUAAGAUGUUUAUUGUUUUUGUUGGUGGGUUGUAAUAUGAUGUCUCUACCAAUUCUUGAUUAGAAUUCUGCUAAUCUAAAUUGUAAAAUUUAAUUUGUACUUGCCAUGUAAUCUAUUGCAAUUGUGUUGAUAUCA